rnacentral:rRNA from 1 species
GUAACAAGGUUUCCGUAGGUGAACCUGCGGAAGGAUCAUUACCUAGAGUUGUAGGCUUUGCCUGCUAUCUCUUACCCAUGUCUUUUGAGUACCUUCGUUUCCUCGGCGGGUUCGCCCGCCGAUUGGACAAUUUAAACCAUUUGCAGUUGCAAUCAGCGUCUGAAAAAACAUAAUAGUUACAACUUUCAACAACGGAUCUCUUGGUUCUGGCAUCGAUGAAGAACGCAGCGAAAUGCGAUAAGUAGUGUGAAUUGCAGAAUUCAGUGAAUCAUCGAAUCUUUGAACGCACAUUGCGCCCCUUGGUAUUCCAUGGGGCAUGCCUGUUCGAGCGUCAUUUGUACCUUCAAGCUCUGCUUGGUGUUGGGUGUUUGUCUCGCCUCUGCGUGUAGACUCGCCUCAAAACAAUUGGCAGCCGGCGUAUUGAUUUCGGAGCGCAGUACAUCUCGCGCUUUGCACUCAGAACGACGACGUCCAAAAGUACAUUUUUACACUCUUGACCUCGGAUCA